UGUGUAGGUGGCGAGGUAAGUCGGAUGUGAAAUCUCGGAGCUCAACUCCGAAAUGGCAUUGGAAACUACCUUGCUCGAGGGUUGGAGGGGGGGACUGGAAUACUUGGUGUAGCAGUGAAAUGCGUAGAUAUCAAGUGGAACACCAGUGGCGAAGGCGAGUCCCUGGACAACUCCUGACACUGAGGCACGAAAGCUAGGGGAGCAAACA
rnacentral:rRNA from 1 species